rnacentral:rRNA from 1 species
UACGUAGGGUGCGAGCGUUAAUCGGAAUUACUGGGCGUAAAGCGUGCGCAGGCGGUAAGUUAAGUCUGAUGUGAAAGCCCCGGGCUCAACCUGGGAAUGGCAUUGGAAACUGGCUUGCUGGAGUGUGGCAGAGGGGGGUGGAAUUCCGGGUGUAGUGGUGGAAUGCGUAGAGAUCCGGAGGAACACCAGCGGCGAAGGCGGCGUCCUGGACUGGUACUGACGCUCAGGAGCGAAAGCGUGGGGAGCGAUCCGG